UGGGGAAUAUUGCACAAUGGACGGAAGUCUGAUGCAGCAACGCCGCGUGCGGGAUGACGGCCUUCGGGUUGUAAACCGCUUUUUCUCAUGACGAAGUUUUUUGACGGUAGUGGGGGAAGAAGCACCGGCUAACUACGUGCCAGCAGCCGCGGUGAUACGUAGGGUGCGAGCGUUGUCCGGAAUUAUUGGGCGUAAAGAGCUUGUAGGCGGUUUGUCGCGUCGAUAGUGCAAACUCAGUGCUUAACGCUGAGCCUGCUGUUGAUACGGGCAGACUAGAGGAAGGUAGGGGAGAAUGGAAUUCCCGGUGGAGCGGUGGAAUGCGCAGAUAUCGGGAGGAACACCGGUGGCGAAGGCGGUUCUCUGGGCCCUUCCUGACGCUGAGAAGCGAAAGCGUGGGGAGCGAACAGG
rnacentral:rRNA from 1 species